rnacentral:rRNA from 1 species
AUUGAACGCUGGCGGCAGGCCUAACACAUGCAAGUCGAGCGAGCGGCGGACGGGUGAGUACUUUAUGGGGAUCUGCCCGAUAGAGGGGGAUAACUACUGGAAACGGUGGCUAAUACCGCAUACUAUCGGAUGAACCCAUAUGGGAUUAGCUAGUAGGUGGGGUAACGGCUCACCUAGGCGACGAUCCCUAGCUGGUCUGAGAGGAUGACGAGCCACACUGAGACUGAGACACGGACGAGACUCCUACGGGAGGCAGCAGUGGGAAAUAUUGCACAAUGGGCGCAAGCCUGAUGCAGCCAUGCCGCGUGUGUGGAGAAGGCCUGCGGGUUGUAAAGCACUUUCAGCGAGGAGGCGUUACUCGAAGAAGAAGCACAGGCUAACUCCGUGCCAGCAGCCGCGGUAAUUC